UGGGUAACCUGCCUCAAAGAGGGGAAUAGCCUCCCGAAAGGGAGAUUAAUACCCGCAUAAUAUGUUUUAAUCGCAUGAUUUUAACAUCAAAGGAUUUUCUUCGGAACUUCCACUUUGAGAUGGACCCGCGGCGCAUUAGCUAGUUGGUGAGGUAACGGCUCACCAAGGCAACGAUGCGUAGCCGACCUGAGAGGGUGAUCGGCCACAUUGGAACUGAGACACGGUCCAGACUCCGUAGG
rnacentral:rRNA from 1 species